AGCUAGUGCUAAUAAAGAGGAACACUAGGGUUGAAAGUAGUUCAAACGGAAUUGCAGGAAAGGUGCGUUCGAUUUCGCUGAUGUUUGAGUCCAGCCAAGUGUAACAAGACGAAAACCACUUCCUGUACGCUCAGGCAUGUUUCUUGACAUGGUUACCAAGGCGGUAUAUACUCCGGAAAUGUCACAAGCAUUACAGCACAACAUUUAGAAUGGGUAAAUUCUUUUGUUCUCAGUACAACUAAAUGACUUUUUAAUGUGCAUCCAUAAAGCCUCUAUUUAUUUCAUAAUUCUGAUCCUCAUGCUAACAGAGUAUAAAAAGCUUUCUAGGGCUUCUAAAAAAUAGCAAAAUGGAAGAGUCAUAACAAAAUGAUAGCAAUUUAAUUGAAUUUUUGUUUCCAUGAUCAAAUAAUUAGUUAGGCAGAAGUAAGAGAAUACUAAAACUAGCGGCCCCUCUUUUAUUGCAACCCUAAUUCCUAAAAAAAAGAAAAAGGGAGAGAGAUGCUGAUCCCGAUGCUAACGCUGCCGCUCGCUUCCGACGUCGAUGCUGACGCCUACGCCAAUACAACGCUGCCGACACCGAUAAUGGCGCCAACGCCUCUGCUCCCUUCCGACGCCGAAACUGAUACGCCGCUCAUUCCCUGAUCUCUCUGUUGCUAUUAGGUUACUGUUUUUGUUUCUCUUUAAUGGAUGAUGAAUACUAUGGUACUGGAAUUGUAGGAAUAAGGAACAUGUGACUAUUAAAGAUGUUUGAUGGCAUGGUCAAACAAAUUGCAAUCUACUUUGAUGUUCUGAACAUAGCAAAAAUUGCCAAGGCUUCUAAAGAAGUCAAUAUUGCUGAAGUUGGAGCUGACAUUGAACUGUUAUCAAAGAACUGAAUCUCUUUAUCACUGUUGAGUUGAUUGGGGAUCAUUACAUGAAUGUAACGGCGGAGGAAAAAUUGACCAUGAUUUAGCCUAAUAUAUUAAGCAAU